GACGAACGCUGGCGGCGUGCUUAACACAUGCAAGUCGAACGGAAAGGCCUUUUCGGAGGUACUCGAGUGGCGAACGGGUGAGUAACACGUGGGUGAUCUGCCCUGCACUCUGGGAUAAGCCUGGGAAACUGGGUCUAAUACCGGAUAGGACCGCACUUUAGUGUGUGUGGUGGAAAGUUUUUUCGGUGUAGGAUGAGCCCGCGGCCUAUCAGCUUGUUGGUGGGGUAAUGGCCUACCAAGGCGGCGACGGGUAGCCGGACUGAGAGGUUGGUCGGCCACAUUGGGACUGAGAGACGGCCCAGACUCCUACGGGAGGCAGCAGUGGGGAAUAUUGCACAAUGGGCGCAAGCCUGAUGCAGCGACGCCGCGUGGGGGAUGACGGCCUUCGGGUUGGAAACUCCUUUCGCCAGGGACGAAGCGUUUUGUGACGGUACCUGGAGAAGAAGCACCGGCUAACUACGUG
rnacentral:rRNA from 1 species